AUUAGCUGGUUGGUGAGGUAAUGGCUCACCAAGGCGACGAUCCGUAGCUGGUCUGAGAGGAUGAUCAGCCACAUCGGGACUGAGACACGGCCCGAACUCCUACGGGAGGCAGCAGUGGGGAAUAUUGGACAAUGGGCGCAAGCCUGAUCCAGCCAUGCCGCGUGUGUGAAGAAGGCCCUCGGGUUGUAAAGCACUUUCAGUGGGGAAGAAAGCCUUGGGGUUAAUACCCUCGAGGAAGGACAUCACCCACAGAAGAAGCACCGGCUAACUCCGUGCCAGCAGCCGCGGUAAUACGGAGGGUGCGAGCGUUAAUCGGAAUUACUGGGCGUAAAGCGCGCGUAGGUGGCUUGAUAAGCCGGUUGUGAAAGCCCCGGGCUCAACCUGGGAACGGCAUCCGGAACUGUCAGGCUAGAGUGCAGGAGAGGAAGGUAGAAUUCCCGGUGUAGCGGUGAAAUGCGUAGAGAUCGGGAGGAAUACCAGUGGCGAAGGCGGCCUUCUGGACUGACACUGACACUGAGGUGCGAAAGCGUGGGUAGCAAACAGGAUUAGAUACCCUGGUAGUCCACGCCGUAAACGAUGUCGACUAGCCGUUGGGAGCCUCGAGUUCUUAGUGGCGCAGUUAACGCGAUAAGUCGACCGCCUGGGGAGUACGGCCGCAAGGUUAAAACUCAAAUGAAUUGACGGGGGCCCGCACAAGCGGUGGAGCAUGUGGUUUAAUUCGAUGCAACGCGAAGAACCUUACCUACCCUUGACAUCGUGCGAACUUGGUAGAGAUACCUUGGUGCCUUCGGGAACGCACAGACAGGUGCUGCAUGGCUGUCGUCAGCUCGUGUUGUGAAAUGUUGGGUUAAGUCCCGUAACGAGCGCAACCCUUGUCCCUAUUUGCCAGCGAUUCGGUCGGGAACUCUAGGGAGACUGCCGGUGACAAACCGGAGGAAGGUGGGGACGACGUCAAGUCAUCAUGGCCCUUACGGGUAGGGCUACACACGUGCUACAAUGGUCGGUACAAAGGGUUGCAAAGCGGCGACGUGGAGCUAAUCCCAGAAAGCUGAUCUCAGUCCGGAUCGGAGUCUGCAACUCGACUCCGUGAAGUCGGAAUCGCUAGUAAUCGUGAAUCAGAAUGUCACGGUGAAUACGUUCCCGGGCCUUGUACACACCGCCCGU
rnacentral:rRNA from 2 species